rnacentral:rRNA from 1 species
UAUGCAACCUACCUUAUACAGGGGAAUAGCCCGAAGAAAUUCGGAUUAAUGCUCCAUGGUUUAUCGAUAUGGCAUCGUAUUGAUAAUAAAGAUUUAUCGGUAUAAGAUGGGCAUGCGUAUCAUUAGCUAGUUGGUGUGGUAACGGCAUACCAAGGCAACGAUGAUUAGGGGUCCUGAGAGGGAGAUCCCCCACACUGGUACUGAGACACGGACCAGACUCCUACGGGAGGCAGCAGUGAGGAAUAUUGGUCAAUGGAGGCCACUCUGAUCCCAGCCAUGCCGCGUGCAGAUGACGGUCCUAUGGAUUGUAAACUGCUUUUGUACAGGAAAGAAACCCUCCCUACGAGUAGGGAYUUGACGGUACUGUAAGAAUAAGGAUCGGCUAACUCCGUGCCAGCAGCCGCGGUAAUACGGAGGAUCCGAGCGUUAUCCGGAAUUAUUGGGUUUAAAGGGUUCGUAGGCGGUCRGAUAAGUCAGUGGUGAAAUUUCUUAGCUUAACUAAGACACGGCCAUUGAUACUGUUUGACUUGAAUAGUAUGGAAGUAACUAGAAUAUGUAGUGUAGCGGUGAAAUGCUUAGAUAUUACAUGGAAUACCAAUUGCGAAGGCAGGUUACUACGUAYUUAUUGACGCUGAUGAACGAAAGCGUGGGGAGCGAACAGGAUUAGAUACCCUGGUAGUCCACGCCGUAAACGAUGGAUACUAGCUGUUCGGUUUUCGGACUGAGUGGCUAAGCGAAAGUGAUAAGUAUCCCACCUGGGGAGUACGUUCGCAAGAAUGAAACUCAAAGGAAUUGACGGGGGCCCGCACAAGCGGUGGAGCAUGUGGUUUAAUUCGAUGAUACGCGAGGAACCUUACCAGGGCUUAAAUGUAGAUUGACAGAUUUGGAAACAGAUUUUUCUUCGGACAAUUUACAAGGUGCUGCAUGGUUGUCGUCAGCUCGUGCCGUGAGGUGUCAGGUUAAGUCCUAUAACGAGCGCAACCCCUAUUGUUAGUUACCAGCGCGUAGUGKCGGGGACUCUAGCAAGACUGCCGGUGCAAACCGUGAGGAAGGUGGGGAUGACGUCAAAUCAUCACGGCCCUUACGUCCUGGGCUACACACGUGCUACAAUGGCAAGUACAGAAAGCAGCUACCUGGCAACAGGAUGCGAAUCUCCAAAGCUUGUCUCAGUUCGGAUUGGAGUCUGCAACUCGACUCUAUGAAGCUGGAAUCGCUAGUAAUCGGAUAUCAGCCAUGAUCCGGUGAAUACGUUCCCGGGCCUUGUACACACCGCCCGUCAAGCCAUGGAAGCUGGGGG